ensembl:sense_intronic Gm43728 predicted gene 43728
NNNNNNNNNGAAGUAGGAAAUGCUGAUUAGCAGCUUAAUAUUUUUGUCUUUCUAAAAAUAAUGCAGAAGCAAGGGCUAAUCAUUGUUAUCUUAAAAAGUUAGUGGCUUUUCUUUUCUUAUUGUUUUAUACCAGUCUUUAAUUGCUUUUUUAAGUCAUUGAGCAAUAUAACGAAUUUCUUAAUGGCAUUCUUGUACAUAUCCAGUGUUAAUCUUUGUUCUCAUUUCUCUCCCUCCUCGCUGCCUUCCCUGCUCCCCUUUCUUCUGCCUUUCUCCUGAGCCCCCCUCCUGCUCCUUCUUUCAGCUUUACUUGUAUCUUUGACCUUUCUUACUCUUCACUCCUUUAAAACCCCUUCCUUUCUCCUUCCUGCCUGCUUUCAUGUUCUACACACACACACACACACACACACACACACACACACACACACACACACUUUUGCACCUGAGAGAAAACAUAUCUUACUUUCUGCACUUGGCUUUUGUUGCUUAACACCAUGAUCUCAGUUCUUCAUGGCGGAGUAAAGUUCCAUUGUGUAUGUGUAUCAUUACAUAUGUGAGUCAUCUGUCCAUGGACAUCUAGGCUGGCUCUGGAUGUUCGUUAUUGUGAAUGUUGUAGCAAUAUCAUGGAUGUACAAGAAUCUGUCCAGUGCCAAUUUAAGGUUCUUUUGGCAUACAUAUUUCCAGGCGUAUACAGUUACCUGGAUCAUAUGGCCAUUAUGUUUGUAAUGCUUUUGAGAAGCCUCUACACUGACUACCUCAGAGGUGUAUUAGUUUACUGAUUCUUACUAAUAAUAGAUGGUCCUCCCAAGCAUUUGUUGUCCUCUGUCCUCUUGGGAGUAGCCAUUCUACUUGAGGUGAGAUGGAAUCUCACGGCAGUUUUCAUUUGAAAGUGGCAAGGCAGGUUGACUACCAGGACAGAGCAAGAGCGAUCAGAAUUUAAAAUGGUCACCACGUCCACACUGCCAUACUUCCUGCCAUGAUGAUUUAUGGAUGGAACCUCUGAACUUGUGAAUCAGCCCCAAUUAAACAUUGUCCCUUAUAAGAGUUGCCUUGGUCAUGGUAUCUCUUCACAGCAAUGGAAACCCUAACUAAGACAGUAUCCUUAGCUUGUCUGGAACUCUGUGUAGCUAGGUAGUUUUGAACUCACAUAGAUUUGCCUGUAUCUGUUUCUUGGAUGCUAGAAUUGAAAGCUUGAGCUGCAGUACAUAGCCAAUUUAUGGCCUUUAUCUUCUAAUGUCAUGGUUGUCAACUUUCCUGAUGUGUGACACUUUAAUAUGGUUCCUCAUGUGAUGACGUCAACUAUAAAAUUAUUUCAUUGCUGCUUCAUAACUGUAAUUUUGCUGCGGUUAUGAAACACAAUGUAAAUACCUGAUAUGCAAGCCCAGAGGGGUCUCCAUCCACAUGUUGAGAACUACUGUUCUAAUGUUUAUGACCUACGUGAUAAUCCACAGUAAACUAAGAGUAACGAGGGAGCUCCUUUGUGCUUAUAGAGUGAAUUAGUAGCAGGCUGAAGAGCACAGUAGGUGGAAGUGACUCUGCUGCCAGCAUUUGAAGGUGUUCUUGUAAAUCUCAGUUCUUUCUUGGGCAGCUCAGCCCUACCUUGGGACCCUGAAAGAUUUACUUUAAAAAAAUAACUUGACAAACUGUUUUUCCUAGAAAGGGCAGGAUUCAGCUGCAGUCAGCAAUGUGGGCCAGAUAUCUGGAAAUUCUCUUUGCUUGUUCCUUUUAAAUGGCUAGUGAAGGUUUAUCAUCAAAUUUUUAGGUAUGUAAAAUAUAGGUGAGUGUAAUUCUCAUUUAAUGAAAAUAAAAUCAGGAUCAUAAUCAACAUUAAGUAAAUGUAACGUGCUUUCUGUCUCUCUGCCUCUGUCACUCUCUGUCUCUGACUUCUCCCUCCCACCCUUCCCCCCAACCCCGUGUGUGUGUGUGUGUGUGUGUGUGUGUGUGUGUGUGUGCUUGGUAUAUUUGGGAAGACCAUCUAAACCAGGGACAAGGACGUGUUAAGGAAAACAAGCCAUUUUAUGUCCAGCUUUUGUAUUCUGUUGUAUUAAAAUCUCAACAUUGUCAGAUCUUCGAACUGUCAGGGAAGUCAAAUCCUGAUUCGUGUAGGUCUUUACAUUUGUUGACAUAUUUUUGUACCCUUAAUAACUCAGGGAAUAGCAGCAAAGAAGUUAAAAGGCAGAACUGGGCCGGAAACAUGGGAUAACUUUUAAUCUUAGUUACCGUCAGAGUUUAUAAUUAAAAGUGUGACACAAAGUACUGACUGGACUUUGUGGGUUAUCUAAAAAGGGGGGAUUUGGCUGGGGAGAUAGAGGUAUAGAAAUGAUCGUAUUUCAUUGAAUUUAUAAAGUAAUGAUGUUAGAAAGGGUAGCUCGAUAAAAAGGACCAGAGAAAAGCUUCUAAGUAAUGAUGGGAAAUUCCUUCAGGUUUUUGUAUAUCGUAGAUGCUUAACCUCUUUCUAGAAACGUUGAU